UCCCUGAUGGUCUAGUGGUUAAGACUCUACGCUGCCAAUGCCGGGGACCUGGGUUCGAUCCCUGGUCAGGGAA
rnacentral:tRNA from 1 species